rnacentral:misc_RNA from 1 species
UGCUGCUCCGCAAAAUGAUCGGCCGAUUAACGGAAGCGAAUUGAGCCUAAAAGCCGCCGAAAGGGCGCAUUCGAAAUCGAUCAAUAACCAAUCUGUACAGUCUAUUCAUCCAACUAGACUUGANNNNNNNCUGAAAUCUUAACAUUUUAUACAUCAGCGCCUGCGCGUUAGCCCUAUCUACAAUUUUAGACAAUGUGGUCAGCGUCAGUUCCGCAUAUUUGAAUCCAAAUGGCUGAUUAG